rnacentral:rRNA from 1 species
ACGGGGGGAGCAAGCGUUGUUCGGAUUUACUGGGCGUAAAGGGCGCGUAGGCGGCCAGCGCAAGUCAGUUGUGAAAUCUCUGGGCUUAACCCAGAAAGGUCAACUGAUACUGCGGGGCUAGAGUGCAGAAGGGGCAACUGGAAUUCCAGGUGUAGCGGUGAAAUGCGUAGAUAUCUGGAGGAACACCGGUGGCGAAGGCGGCAUCCUGGACCGGUAUUGACGCUGAGGCGCGAAAGCCAGGGGAGCAAACGGGA